CAGUAGCCGCGGUAAUACGUAGGGUGCAAGCGUUAAUCGGAAUUACUGGGCGUAAAGCGCGCGUAGGUGGUUUGGUAAGAUGGAUGUGAAAUCCCCGGGCUAAACCUGGGAACUGCAUCCAUAACUGCCUGACUAGAGUACGGUAGAGGGUGGUGGAAUUUCCUGUGUAGCGGUGAAAUGCGUAGAUAUAGGAAGGAACACCAGUGGCGAAGGCGACCACCUGGACUGAUACUGACACUGAGGUGCGAAAGCGUGGGGAGCAAACAGGAUUAGAUACCCCUGUAGUCCCUGUCUCUUAUAC
rnacentral:rRNA from 1 species